rnacentral:rRNA from 1 species
CCUACGGGUGGCAGCAGUGAGGAAUAUUGGUCAAUGGACGAGAGUCUGAACCAGCCAAGUAGCGUGAAGGAUGACUGCCCUAUGGGUUGUAAACUUCUUUUAUAUGGGAAUAAAAUGUUCCACGUGUGGGAUUUUGUAUGUACCAUAUGAAUAAGGAUCGGCUAACUCCGUGCCAGCAGCCGCGGUAAUACGGAGGAUCCGAGCGUUAUCCGGAUUUAUUGGGUUUAAAGGGAGCGUAGGUGGAUUGUUAAGUCAGUUGUGAAAGUUUGCGGCUCAACCGUAAAAUUGCAGUUGAAACUGGCAGUCUUGAGUACAGUAGAGGUAGGCGGAAUGCGAGGUGUAGCGGUGAAAUGCUUAGAUAUCACGAAGAACACCGAUUGCGAAGGCAGUUCACUGGACUGCAACUGACACUGAGGCACGAAAGUGUGGGUAUCAAACAGGAUUAGAUACCCGUGUAGUC